AGCUCAGGAGAAGACAAUGCCACUUUCAGAAGGGCACACAUCACCGAUGUCAGCGAGACUCACUCGACACAGGGAGACAAGGCUGCCUGCAGACCACUGCACAGGGAUGCUGCAAACAACAGUCUUUACAAGAAUUCACGAUUUGUUCCUACUUUUAGAGGCGCAUUCAGCAUUUUGAAUGGUGGUGUUCCCAUCACCACAAUCGUGAAAGAGAAGAGUCAGUGAAGCCACUAAAGGUUCACAGUGACCCCGAAAGAGACAGACGUUGCAGAACUUCAAGAGUUAAAGACCAGGCCAAGUGUAAAGAUACAUCAGACGGCCUCCUGAGAGGUGUGGAGGGAAGGCGCUCUUUCCCAGCAGGUCACUUUGUUUACUACUUACAUAUAAUUGUUGACAGCUCAUCACGAAUCGAUCUGACUUAAAUACUUCCCGGAACAAGGUAAAAUACAUGAGUUGAAAAGAAAAUGCAUGAAUGUAGUCCAUCUUGCUGGACCAGAGAGAAAUGUGUGUGACAGUGCAAAUGAGAUGUUCACCCAUGACCACACCAGCAGGCGAUGCAGAAACACUAAAAGAUUUCCACUCUUCACAACUCUACCCUGCAGUCCAUGGCGAUGACCUAGAACAUUUAGCAGCGUUCCAACCUCAUUCAACACACACGCAGGCCCUUUGCCUCUGCAUUGUCUUGUCCCUGAAAAGUAGAAAUGUGGGUUGGGGUUACUUUGACUCAGAUGGGGGUUGGGGGGAAGCCUGCCAGAGAGAGGAGAAGAGUCGGGUAUCAUAAGCAUUUGGGGAAGAAGAGGGGAUAUCCUGUAGCUGGUCCCGGCUCCCUUCCACGGGGCAAGGGAUAGGUUUCUGUUUACAGAGGGAAACAUUUAAUCAAGACCGCAUUCUUCAAAACCCACAUGUAUUUCUUAUCACAUCCACCCAAGCAAUCUGGGGUCCCACACAAACGUGCAGUGGCUUCUGGAGAGGAAGUUUUGGUGAAUAUUUUAGAAACAAUAACAACAACAAGAACAAAAACACAACCGACUGGCACAGUCUGAAUCUCAACGAUCUCAAGAUUCUUCUUCAUUUUGAGACCUUCCGAAACAAUACGAACAUUCUAUUUGGUAAGUCAAUAAGAAAACUCACUGACACAAUAAUGCUCUGUCUUUCUCAAGUUGGGGUGCCGACAUAAUGGAGAAAGUCCCUGCUCUGAAUGUCUCCAACCAUAUGAAGUUUAAAAAGCAUGCAGCUGGGGGUCGAUGUUGGGUGAACACCCAGGAUUACGGGACAGACGUGAACCUCCGCCUGGCUGGACGCUUACAGGUUUCCCUUCAUCCCCUGAAGAACUGCUAAAACCAGCAAUUAGGAACCGUAAACACCAGUACUUUGCCUUGAGGGAAAUUGGGACUUCAAGAUAAAAUAUCUAAGAGAUUUGAAAUCUGUCGUUAAACACAGCCUUGGUCUUAAAUGUUCAUAAUCCUUUCCCUGCCCUUGACUUUCUGCAAUAACUUCUUUCUGAAUUUCUCUGUCUCUGUUUACCAGUUUACUUUCUUAGGGAAUAACCUCCAUAAGCUACCAAAUGAUGAACUGUUUUUCAUUCAUGUGUUGUUUUUCCAGCCCCCUUAAUUGGAAUAAAUGAACAUAUGACUUGACUUUUAACCUACUUUUCC